GACGAACGCUGGCGGCGUGCUUAACACAUGCAAGUCGAACGAAGAGCGAUGGAAGCUUGCUUCUAUCAAUCUUAGUGGCGAACGGGUGAGUAACGCGUAAUCAACCUGCCCUUCAGAGGGGGACAACAGUUGGAAACGACUGCUAAUACCGCAUACGAUCUAAUCUCGGCAUCGAGGAUAGAUGAAAGGUGGCCUCUACAUGUAAGCUAUCACUGAAGGAGGGGAUUGCGUCUGAUUAGCUAGUUGGAGGGGUAACGGCCCACCAAGGCGAUGAUCAGUAGCCGGUCUGAGAGGAUGAACGGCCACAUUGGGACUGAGACACGGCCCAGACUCCUACGGGAGGCAGCAGUGGGGAAUCUUCCGCAGUGGACGAAAGUCUGACGGAGCAACGCCGCGUGAGUGAUGACGGCCUUCGGGUUGUAAAGCUCUGUUAAUCGGGACGAAAGGCCUUCUUGCGAAUAGUGAGAAGGAUUGACGGUACCGGAAUAGAAAGCCACGGCUAACUACGU
rnacentral:rRNA from 1 species